UACGAGGGGUGCAAGCGUUGCUCGGAAUUAUUGGGCGUAAAGGGUAGGUAGGUGGUCUUAUUUGUCUGGGGUGAAAGCCUUGGGCUUAACUCAAGAAGUGCCCCAGAAACGGUAAGACUCGAGUCCUGGAGAGGGUCGUGGAAUUCCCGGUCGUAGCGGUGAAAUGCGUAGAGAUCGGGAGGAACACCAGAGGCGAAAGCGGCGACCUGGACAGGCACUGACACUCAACUACGAAAGCGUGGGGAGCAAACAGG
rnacentral:rRNA from 1 species